rnacentral:rRNA from 1 species
UUAAAUUGAAGAGUUUGAUCAUGGCUCAGAUUGAACGCUGGCGGCAGGCCUAACACAUGCAAGUCGAACGGUAACAGAAAGAAGCUUGCUGCUUUGCUGACGAGUGGCGGACGGGUGAGUAAUGUCUGGGAAACUGCCUGAUGGAGGGGGAUAACUACUGGAAACGGUAGCUAAUACCGCAUAACGUCGCAAGACCAAAGAGGGGGACCUUCGGGCCUCUUGCCAUCGGAUGUGCCCAGAUGGGAUUAGCUAGUAGGUGGGGUAACGGCUCACCUAGGCGACGAUCCCUAGCUGGUCUGAGAGGAUGACCAGCCACACUGGAACUGAGACACGGUCCAGACUCCUACGGGAGGCAGCAGUGGGGAAUAUUGCACAAUGGGCGCAAGCCUGAUGCAGCCAUGCCGCGUGUAUGAAGAAGGCCUUCGGGUUGUAAAGUACUUUCAGCGGGGAGGAAGGGAGUAAAGUUAAUACCUUUGCUCAUUGACGUUACCCGCAGAAGAAGCACCGGCUAACUCCGUGCCAGCAGCCGCGGUAAUACGGAGGGUGCAAGCGUUAAUCGGAAUUACUGGGCGUAAAGCGCACGCAGGCGGUUUGUUAAGUCAGAUGUGAAAUCCCCGGGCUCAACCUGGGAACUGCAUCUGAUACUGGCAAGCUUGAGUCUCGUAGAGGGGGGUAGAAUUCCAGGUGUAGCGGUGAAAUGCGUAGAGAUCUGGAGGAAUACCGGUGGCGAAGGCGGCCCCCUGGACGAAGACUGACGCUCAGGUGCGAAAGCGUGGGGAGCAAACAGGAUUAGAUACCCUGGUAGUCCACGCCGUAAACGAUGUCGACUUGGAGGUUGUGCCCUUGAGGCGUGGCUUCCGGAGCUAACGCGUUAAGUCGACCGCCUGGGGAGUACGGCCGCAAGGUUAAAACUCAAAUGAAUUGACGGGGGCCCGCACAAGCGGUGGAGCAUGUGGUUUAAUUCGAUGCAACGCGAAGAACCUUACCUGGUCUUGACAUCCACGGAAGUUUUCAGAGAUGAGAAUGUGCCUUCGGGAACCGUGAGACAGGUGCUGCAUGGCUGUCGUCAGCUCGUGUUGUGAAAUGUUGGGUUAAGUCCCGCAACGAGCGCAACCCUUAUCCUUUGUUGCCAGCGGUCCGGCCGGGAACUCAAAGGAGACUGCCAGUGAUAAACUGGAGGAAGGUGGGGAUGACGUCAAGUCAUCAUGGCCCUUACGACCAGGGCUACACACGUGCUACAAUGGCGCAUACAAAGAGAAGCGACCUCGCGAGAGCAAGCGGACCUCAUAAAGUGCGUCGUAGUCCGGAUUGGAGUCUGCAACUCGACUCCAUGAAGUCGGAAUCGCUAGUAAUCGUGGAUCAGAAUGCCACGGUGAAUACGUUCCCGGGCCUUGUACACACCGCCCGUCACACCAUGGGAGUGGGUUGCAAAAGAAGUAGGUAGCUUAACCUUCGGGAGGGCGCUUACCACUUUGUGAUUCAUGACUGGGGUGAAGUCGUAACAAGGUAACCGUAGGGGAACCUGCGGUUGGAUCACCUCCUUACCUUAAAGAAGC